UACGUAGGGUGCAAGCGUUACUCGGAAUUACUGGGCGUAAAGCGUGCGCAGGCGGUUGUGCAAGACAGAUGUGAAAUCCCCGGGCUUAACCUGGGAAUUGCAUUUGUGACUGUACGGCUAGAGUGUGUCAGAGGGGGGUAGAAUUCCACGUGUAGCAGUGAAAUGCGUAGAGAUGUGGAGGAAUACCGAUGGCGAAGGCAGCCCCCUGGGAUAACACUGACGCUCAUGCACGAAAGCGUGGGGAGCAAACAGG
rnacentral:rRNA from 1 species